rnacentral:rRNA from 1 species
AUUGAACGCUGGCGGCAGGCUUAACACAUGCAAGUCGAGCGGGGGAAGGUAGCUUGCUACCGGACCUAGCGGCGGACGGGUGAGUAAUGCUUAGGAAUCUGCCUGGUAGUGGGGGACAACGUUUCGAAAGGAACGCUAAUACCGCAUACGUCCUACGGGAGAAAGCAGGGGACCUUCGGGCCUUGCGCUAUCAGAUGAGCCUAGGUCGGAUUAGCUAGUUGGUGGGGUAAUGGCUCACCAAGGCGACGAUCCGUAACUGGUCUGAGAGGAUGAUCAGUCACACUGGAACUGAGACACGGUCCAGACUCCUACGGGAGGCAGCAGUGGGGAAUAUUGGACAAUGGGCGAAAGCCUGAUCCAGCCAUGCCGCGUGUGUGAAGAAGGUCUUCGGAUUGUAAAGCACUUUAAGUUGGGAGGAAGGGCAGUAAGUUAAUACCUUGCUGUUUUGACGUUACCGGCAGAAUAAGCACCGGCUAACUCUGUGCCAGCCGCCGCCGUAA